CCUGGAGAGGGACGUGGGGAAUGAGCCGGCCAAGGGACCCCAGGCUAGGCCCUGGAGCAGGAGGUUCAUGUGUCUGGGCAGAGGUCUGACAGCCAUGCAAACUGGGCUCUGGGGACCAGGAAUGCCUGUGACCUUCCUGCUUGUGGCCCCAGGGGGCUCAAGGGUGGUAGAAUGAGGGUGGGCUUGAGGAGAUGGGAGGGCAGGGGCAGAAGUGGUACCCUGGAGAGGGGAACCUCCAUCACACAGGCUGGGGGCAACCCAGAGGGACAUCCCAACAAAGGCUCUAGGGGAGAAGCUCUGGGCUGAGGCCUUCUCUCCCACCUCAACCCGUUUCCUCACCACCUGGCUGCCUCACACCCCCCUGCACUAGCAGCUGAAUUUGGUGACCACACCCCGCCUUCCCACCACCAUGUCUCCAGAGCCACCGUGAGGCCUGGCACACAGCUCCUGGCGCUUGGCCUCCGCGGUGGCCAGCGCCCCUCGCAGUCCCCGCAGCUCUGCCCGCAGGGCUGCCAGCUCCUCCUCUGCCUGCGCUGAGCGCAGCAAUGGCUUCAUCUUGAAAAAGAGCUUCAUCCAUGACCAGUUCUUGACAGCGUUGAAGGCACGGAUAUUCCACUGGAUGAGCCACCUGGCCAGCCCCGGGGAUAAGCUGACCCAGAUGACAGAGAAGGCGCUGGUACUCGAGGCGCAUGAGGCGGCCCCGGCUCCGUGCCUGCAGCAAUGUCAAAACCUUGGCCAGACGU